GGGUCCGGCAGGCCGCGUACCUCCCCCAAGGACUGUGGGGAAAGAGCCAACCACCCUCCCCCACCGGCCCGUUCACCCUCAGGAGUGACCCGGUUGCGGCGAGUACGGACGGAGGGUUACGUUCCCCGCACACCACAACUUCAGACAGACAACGGCCCCCGGCCGGGACUGGCAUCCCGAUCGAGGGCCUGACCAACCAGGAAGAAAGCACCUUCCCG
rnacentral:ncRNA from 1 species